rnacentral:rRNA from 1 species
GACGAACGCUGGCGGCGUGCUUAACACAUGCAAGUCGAACGAGAAUCUGUGGAAAGAGGAUUCGUCCAAUUGAAGCAGAGGACAGUGGCGGACGGGUGAGUAACACGUGAGGAACCUGCCUUUCAGAGGGGGACAACAGUUGGAAACGACUGCUAAUACCGCAUGACAUAUAGAUGUCGCAUGGCAUUUAUAUCAAAGAUUUAUCGCUGAAAGAUGGCCUCGCGUCUGAUUAGCUAGUUGGUGAGGUAACGGCCCACCAAGGCGACGAUCAGUAGCCGGACUGAGAGGUUGAACGGCCACAUUGGGACUGAGAUACGGCCCAGACUCCUACGGGAGGCAGCAGUGGGGAAUAUUGGGCAAUGGGCGCAAGCCUGACCCAGCAACGCCGCGUGAAGGAAGAAGGCUUUCGGGUUGUAAACGUCUUUUGUCAGGACGAGUAGAAGACGGUACC